rnacentral:rRNA from 1 species
GAUGAACGCUGGCGGCGUGCCUAAUACAUGCAAGUCGAGCGAACAGACGAUGAUCUUGCUCCUCUGUCGUUAGCGGCGGACGGGUGAGUCACACGUGGAUAACCUCCCUAUCAGACUGGUAUCACUUCGGGAAACCGGCGCUUAUACCGUAUAAUAUAUUGAACCGCAUGGUUCAAUAGUGAAAUACGGUUUUUCUGUCUCUUCUCGAUGGAUCCGCGCCGCAUUAGCUAGUUGGUAAGGUAACGGCUUACCAAGGCGACGAUGCGUAGCCGAACUGAGAGGGUGAUCGGCCACACUGGAACUGAGACACGGUCCAGACUACUACGGGAGGCAGCAGUAGGGAAUCUUACGCAAUGGGCGAAAGCCUGACGGAGCAACGCCGCGUGAGUGAUGAAGGUCUUCGGAUCGUAAAACUCUGUUAUUAGGGAAGAACAAAUGUGUAAGUAACUAUGCACGUCUUGACGGUAACUAAUCAGAAAGCAACGGCUAACUACGUG